ACGGGAGGCAGCAGUGAGGAAUAUUGGUCAAUGGGCGGAAGCCUGAACCAGCCAAGUCGCGUGAAGGAUGAAGGUAUUAUGUAUUGUAAACUUCUUUAGACGCAGAGAAAUAAGAGGCUCGUGAGUCUUGAUGCUAGUAUGCGUAGAAUAAGGAUCGGCUAACUCCGUGCCAGCAGCCGCGGUAAUACGGAGGAUCCGAGCGUUAUCCGGAUUUACUGGGUGUAAAGGGCGUGUAGGCGGAGCUGCAAGUCAGAUGUGAAAUCCCGGGGCUCAACCCCGGAACUGCAUUUGAAACUGUAGCCCUUGAGUAUCGGAGAGGCAAGCGGAAUUCCUAGUGUAGCGGUGAAAUGCGUAGAUAUUAGGAGGAACACCAGUGGCGAAGGCGGCUUGCUGGACGACAACUGACGCUGAGGCGCGAAAGCGUGGGGAGCAAACAGGAUUAGAUACCCUGGUA
rnacentral:rRNA from 1 species